rnacentral:rRNA from 1 species
GACUACCCGGGUAUCUAAGCCUGUUUGCUCCCCACGCUUUCGCGCCUCAGUGUCAGUUGCGGUCCAGAAAGCUGCCUUCGCCAUUGGUUUUCCUCCCGAUAUCUAUGCAUUUCACCGCUCCACCGGGAAUUCUACUUUCCUCUCCCGCACUCUAGCCAUACAGUUUCAAAUGCAAUUUCAAAGUUGAGCCUUAAAAUUUCACAUCUGACUUAUACGACCACCUACGCGCCCUUUACACCCAGUAAUUCCGGAUAACGCUUGCCCCCUACGUAUUACCGCGGCUGCUGGCACGUAGUUAGCCGGGGCUUCUUCCACAGGUACAGUCAUCGUACCGUCUUGUUAUUCCAAUACUUAUUCUUCCCUGUCGAAAGGACUUUACACCCCUAAAGGCUUCAUCAUCCACGCGGCGUCGCUGCGUCAGGCUUUCGCCCAUUGCGCAAUAUUCCUCACUGCAGCCCCCCGUAGG